UUCCGGUUGAUCCCGCCGGACUCCACUGCUAUCGGGGUAAGGCUAAGCCAUGCAAGUCGAAGGCCUCCGGCUCCGGGGGCCUGGCGUACGGCUGAGUAACGCGUGGCCAACCUGCCCUGCGGAGGGGGAUAACCCCGGGGAACUGGGGAUAAACCCCCAUAGGUGACCGGGUCUGGAAGGACCGGUCGCCGAAAGUCCCGGUCGGGGAUGCUCCGGCCGGGAGCCGCAGGAUGGGGCUGCGUCCUAUCAGGUAGUUGGUGGGGUAACGGCCCACCAAGCCUGUGACGGGUAGGGGCCCUGAGAGGGGGAGCCCCCAGAUGGACUCUGAGACAAGAGUCCAGGCCCUACGGGGCGCAGCAGGCGCGAAAACUCCGCAAUGGGCGAAAGCCCGACGGGGUUACCCCGAGUGCCACCCUCGUGGUGGCUUUUGCCCGCUCUAAAAAGGCGGGCGAAUAAGGGGAGGGCAAGUCGGGUGUCAGCCGCCGCGGUAAUACCCGCUCCCCGAGUGGUGGAGGCUAUUACUGGGCCUAAAGCGCCCGUAGCCGGCCCGGUGUGUCCCUCGUUAAAUCCACGGGCUUAACCCGUGGGCUGCGGGGGAUACUACCGGGCUUGGGGGUGGGAGAGGCGCCCGGUAUUCCCGGGGUAGGGGUAAAAUCCUCUGAUCCCG
rnacentral:rRNA from 1 species